CCUAGCUUGUCAAAGAAAAACUAAUUUAUUUUUAUUAUCGUGACACAAAUAUGUCAGGAGACGAUGAUUUACACAAAUAUGACGAUCCCAGUCUUAAAGGAAUGCGGCGAUAUUUCAAUAGUUCCACAAUAAAAGGACGAGCAAAUGUAUCGAAGGCAACAUUCACGUUGAUAAUCUUGGCCUAUGUGUAUUCAAAAUUUUCCAGAAAAAAAUGUCCCGAGUGUCCUCCAUCUACGAAAUAAAGUAAGGUCUAAUGUUCUUGUUUGUUUGUACAUACGUGAUGAGGAAUUUUGUUAAACGUUUUAAAAAUUGGAGUAAAGUUCAUUUUGGAUACCCAGAGGAUCAUACAAUAAAAAUUGUUAAACAUGUCUCUUUAUCAACUGUCAGCUUUUUGAGUGGUCUACUUUUUUACGAAAAAAUUUUAAAGAGGAUGUGCACUGAUGAGCCAAUUUGUCAGAAACCUAAUAGAGCACAAAUAAAAAGAAGAAUUAAUGAAAAACCUAAAACACAAAAAAACCCUGAUGAUUCUACAUAAUUUGUAAAUAAAUUCCGUGCAAAGCUAUAA